rnacentral:lncRNA from 1 species
AUUUCACAAGAGCAUGAAGCACUCUCAUAAGAGUCGCUGGACCAUUCCACCAACUGUAGUUGUUACCCUGAGUAGUUUUGUGCAUUAGCAAUUACAUUCAGAAAUAGAAACAGUGACAGUGGCUAGAAAUGUGGCUGCUGAGCUAUGUGUCUUUAAGGAGAAAAAGAAAAGAAAAAGAUCUGUGUACCCAACAACUGAAAAUUUAGUCAUUUAUGAGAAAACAUUUUUGAGCACCAACCCUGAGCCAUUGGCUUAGGAUACAAGAAAGAAGAAGACAAAUAGCUGCCUUUUGAGAGUUUAUCCACUGUGAAUAAUAGACCAACAGCUCCAAUAGUGUUUGCAGGUUGUCCCACUGGAGAGGACAGAGGGUCUCUUUCCAUCAGCAGGAGUUGCCAUUAGAAGAACCGCCAAGAGUUCUUGGAUGGAGAUGAAAAGGUGAGGAGAGGGUCUCAGUCACCAUGAGAAUGGGGACCAUUAAGAGAACUAGGAUUCACUAUGGGGGUGGAGCUCAGACUGCCCGAGAGGGAGGAGCAGAAGAUGAGUCUGGAAAGAAGAGAAGACAAGGAAGCCACUGCGGGUGGUGGUCUAGGCUAAAGAGCCAGGCACUGGUCCUGGAAGGAAGCUGGGAAGAAGCAUGAUCAGGUGCCUGCUUUAGGGAGAUGUCAUCAGUGGACUAGCUGAGAGUGAGCCUAGAGACAGGCAGAUGACUAGAUUGACUCUGGAAAUAUCUGAGAGAGAAAUCCAGGACUGAAAUAAAGCAUGGAGAGGUGUAAGGUGUGUGGACAGAUUUGAGUUCUUUGAAAGGUAGGACUGGGAGGCCUUGGUUGUCCAUGGCAUGUGAGGGGUCGAGAAAAGAGGGAGAGAUUAGGGAUGGCUUCUCCAGAUGGAUGAAGGUACCAUACACUGAAUGGCAAUGAAUGAUACAAGAAGUAUAGGUAGGAUAGAGAAAAUAUAGGUGUUUUGAUAUGUUCCACUUGCUCUUUAAAUGAGACAGCCAAACAGAAUCUCCCAUCCAGAUCCAAGUUCAAGAGAGUAGUGUGAUCUGGAGAUCCCAGGUCCCAGGGACAUCAGCAGAUAGAGCUGAAAGCUGGCUGCGGAGGUCUGAAUGUCUGUGCCCCUCCCAAGUUCAUAGGUUGAAAUCUAACCCCCAACCUGACAGUAUGAGGGGGUGGGGCCCUUUGGAAGUGAUUAGAUUGUGAAAGGAAUCAGUGCUCUUAUAAAAGAGGUCUGAGGGACUCCUCUUCCUUUGCGCCCUGUGAGGACACAUGGAAGGCGCUAUCUAUGAGAAACAGGUCCUCUCUACCAGACACGGAAUCUGCUGGCACUUUAACCUUGGAACUGUGAGCAGUAGAUUCCUGCUGUUUAUAAGUAGUAUUUUGUUAUAGCAGCCUGCACUGACAUGACACUGGCCAAAGGAGGGCCUGAGACAUAAACAGAAGAGGCCAGUCCAGGGAAUUCCCAGGGCGAAGGAAAAUGAAGCCACCAAGAAGAGCAAGCAAAGAGAGGGGGAAAUAGUCUUACCAGAAAACAGAGGCAGGAUGACUUUGGAAGAAAGAGGAAGUGUUCCACAGUGUCACGUGACAUAGAGGUCAAGGAACACAGGGAAGAAGCAGGCGAUCUGGCAUCUGGGUACUUACUGGCUGGUAGAAGACCCUGUAGGGAGGUGCAGAGACUGGAAGGCCAUGAGUCAGGGAAGUGGUGACAAUAGUUGGACAGUUCUAGCCAGGAGCUCAGCUAGAAGGGAAGGAGUUGCUUAGCAGCGGACUGGGUAAGAGAAUUCAGUUGAGGGGAUUUAAGCAGAAAUAGUUGGUAGAGGAGAUAGAUUUACAGGAGAGAGGAAAUGGGUGGAGCAAGCAUGCAAAAGAAUGUUCCAAGCUCAGCUCAGGUCUGAGCUCCAUGUUCCCUCCCUGUUCCAUACCUCUGCAGCCUUCACCUGGGCCAUUCACCUAGCACCUCCACACCUUGUUCUACAUUAUACUCAUUGGAGUGGAGUGUAUGUCUUGCCUUCUGAGGUUAACCUUCAAUCUCUUCCAGGGAAAGAACUCCAUCUUAAAUAUUUUUUUUGUUAUAAUUCAUAGUGCUUCUUUUGUGCUGUUUUAUUAGAACUGAGUUCCACGGUGGUGGUGUUGGAAGGUAUAACCGCUGAGGUGAAGGACACAGAAAGUUACAGCUUGGUGAAGUUUUACAUAUGUCCAAUGUAUAGAGUAUUCCUAGCACACUAGCAUAGCCUCACCCAGUCAAACCUACCUGAGAAUAACCACCUUCUACCGCAAUAUAAUUCUGCCUGCCCUUGGCCUUCUUUUAAUGGGGAUUGUACAGCAUACGUUCUUUGGAGUCUGAUUUCUUUCUCCCUCAACAAUAUUUUUUGUUGUAUGUAGUGGUUCAAGUUUGCUUGUUUGUUUUGUUUGUUUGUGAAGUAUUCCAUUGUACAAAUCUACCAAUGUUUCUACCUGUUAAUAGAUACUAGGAUUUUUUUUUUCCCAGUUUGGGACUAAAAUGAAUAGUGUUUACAUGAAUAUUCUUGUGUGUGUGUGUAUUGAGGGUCAUAGCAUACUCUAUGAGUACAUACUUGAAGAUGUGAUUGACAGGUCCUAGGGUAGACAUUUAUUUUAUUUUAGUAAAUACUGCCGAAGUGUUUAUGCAAUUUAGAUACUUAAAGUGCAUGAGUGCUCUGGUUCUACAGGAUUUUUAAAGAAAAUUCAAUUCUAUGAGGAAUGCUUAAAACACUGAAAGAACUACCACUUUUAAGAACCCACAAUACUUGAGAAGUAUCUAUUAAUAUGUUGAUAAUUGUUAUGUAUAUAACACAUCACUCCUCUACUCACUGACUUUUAUUAUAGGAACCCCCACUCCUUUUUUUUGGUCUAGUUUGAGUUAAGGCAGAUUCCUGAAUAUAAGUAUGUUUCUUUAAAAAUAAUUUCAUAAUUUGUGAUUAUCAUCAAUUUUUAAAGAUCCUGUUGCUUUACAUUCAGAUUCAUGAGAUUUUACUUUGCUAAUCAAUUUGAUUUUUCCUAAGAACUGGAGAACCAGCCUCCGUGCAUACCUUGGAAUGACAUCUACUCUGCUUUCAAGUUCACCUUGGCUCACUUACAUUCUUAGGAGUAGGUCACAGCACAGUGGUUCUGUGAGAGUGAACAAACUGAUCUAGAUGGUAAGUCAAAGUUUGAAAGCAGCAUAUGGUGAAGAAUAUGGGCCAACCUUACCUGGGUAUUCUGACCUUGGGUUGAAAAGACAAUACAGUCCUUCUGGGCAUCUCAGAGGUGUUAGGCUCCACCAUGUCUGUCUCCUGAGUGGUAUUGUACUGAUCUGGGUGGUCGUCUUCUAUCAUUGGUGUACCAUAGCAUUUGGGAUCUCUUUCUUACUGUCCUCCUAGAAAUGCCCUUUACCUCUCUCCAGUGUCAGAAUUUCUGUUGUUAUAUCUUUCCCUUUCUUGAGAAAAGCUGCAUGGGAAAUAAGUUUUUAGACUUUGCAUGUCUAAAAAAUGUCUUUAUUCUAUCCUCAUGUUUGUUUGAUAGUUGAGCUAGGUAUGGAAUUACAGGUUGGAGAGCAUUUUCCUUCAUAACUGUGAAUAUAUCGCCUUUAUUUUCUUUUUGCUUCUAAUGAUGUUGUUGAGGACCUCCAAGCCUGUCUAAUUUUUUAUUCUUUGUAUGUGAUUUUUUUUCCAUUCUCUGAAUUUUCAUAGACUAUUUAUCAUAUACCCUACUGACCCCCCUCGCCCCGGCUUUUGGGAAAUUUCUAAUGAGAUGCCUUAAUUUGGAUCUGUCUGUAUUUGAACUGUUGAGCAUUUGGUGUAUUCUUUGAAACUCAAAAUGCUUGUCUUUCAUUUCUGGGAAUUUCUUUGGAAUCAUUUAUUAUUAUUAUGUCCUUGCUAUUUUCUCUUCUGUGAACUCUUAUGAUUUAGAUAUUGACUUCUUAGACCAGUCUUAUAGUUUUAUUUUAUUUUCUCUUCAGUUUUACAUCUCUUUGACCUUUUACUCUACUUUCUGGAAGACUUUUUAAUUCCUAAGAACUCCCUGAUGGCCUCUGCAUGUUCCUUUCUUGUUUCAUCAUGUUCUCUUUUCUUGCAUGUAGCAUCCUUUAUUAUCUCUUACACAUAUAAUAUGCAUGCACUUUAAUUCUCCUCUCCCUGUGUAUUCUCAUUCCUCUACACAAUGCUUUGAUUUCUGUUUGUCCAUUGUUUGUUUUGGUAUUUAUCUUCCAUAUUAUCAGCUCUCCUCACAUGUUCAGUGAUAUUGGAAUAUCUGAUCAUGACUAAGAAUGAACAACUAUCAAUUUGGUUGGAAGCUCUUACACUGACUACAAACUCUGGGCAAGUUGGUGGAGCUUUGGACUGUGUGUUGCAUGGUAGGAUUGUUGGAGCACCUCUAGUAUCAGUGAUGAUAGGUUUGUUCCUCUCGGAUUUCUUAAGCACUUGAAGUGCUUGAAAGAGUUCCUGGCACAUAGUAAAUGCUCCAUAAAUAUUAGCUAUUAUUAUUAUCAUGAAAAAUGCACAUGAAGAAACAAAUAUAUAACUCAACUAACCCAACGUCCACAUCCUUGCUAGAAUUGUCACACCAACUUACACAGAUGCCAUCAUUCUCAUAAUGAUUUGGACACGAACCUUGAAUGGCUGAUGGAUGAUAGAAAGCAGGGAUGGAAGGAAGACUCUCACGACAGGAGAGUGAGAGGAGGCAGUGGAUUGAGAAGGCACCAGUGUCUAGACGAGAUGCCAAGCAGUCACAGUGACUUUCAAAGCAUCCUCAUUAAGCCAGUGUCUAAUCAUUGUUCAUCUUUGCAGUCCUGGGGAGAUAGGUUCUGGCACACACUUGGGGGCAGAUUUGUAAAUUAGCUCUAUGACUCCUCCAGUUGCCUCCCAUUUUGUGGGUGAUGGCACCAGAGGACCAACUCUGGGGGUGGGGGAGAAGGAAUAUUCCAUCCAUCUGGCUGCAGAUUAUUAAGCCACUUUUUCUUCCUGUCACAAACAAAUUGUGAAUCACACUGCAUUCUCCUCCACCCUCCCUUUCUAGAGUCUCCUCUUCCUUUUCUAUAACCUGGGGAGGAUGUGCUCAACACUGGUGGGUGCUGGUUGUGUGGUUCUUAGUAAUGAGAAGGGCUCCCUUUUCCUUCUUUCCACAGCAGUUAGUCCCCAGCCACCUGGAAGUUCCCUCCAGAAAUCAAACGAGCAGCUUCCGCAGAGCCUGGUCACUCGCCAGAGCGGUGGAUUCCUCUCAGGAGCUGUUGUAGCCUUUGGCAGGGAGUCAGCUCCGCGGGUCAUUGAUUUCAACUGCUCAGCAUCUUUGUUUCAGCUCAUCUUGUGCAUCUGCCUCUCUCAAUUCAAUUCUAAUAACUUUAAUGGCACAAAGAGAUGGCGAAAGCAUUGCCAAAGUCAAUAAUCAAGUUUCUGCAACCCAGGAUUACUUUUUUUUCCCAGUUGUUUCAGCAUGGAUGAGAACUACACAGGCUCAUGCUGUGUUUUGUCUCUGGAUUAUUCUCUGGUGAGAUAAUUUAUAUCAGGAGAUCUGAGUCAGUCAUUUCGCCCAGUUAUAUUUGGUCUCACUAUUUUCUGUGGCUUCUUGGUUGAUUCUUAUUUGUUUCCAUGUCUUUUUCAUACUAUUUCUUUAUUGAUGAAGAAACCAGAUCAGCAAAUAUUUAUGAACGUGUUUUGCAUGGAGGCAGUGUGGUAGAGUCUUAGUUCAAAUCCUGGCUCUUCUGCUUUUAUAUACUGUGUGAUACCCAGGCCAAUUAUGUGCCUUCUCUACAGCUCCAGUUACUCAUGUGGACAUUACGUGGCGAGUAAUGACACCAUUCCUUAUUGCAUUGUCAUGAGGAUGAAAUAAAAUUGUACCGACAGAGCCUGGCCUGGUGUCUGGCACAGAGUAACCCUUCACACAUGGAAAUUGAUAUUUUUAUGCUGGUUUUCAGUGCUGUCUUUUAUCCAUGACCUCAUUUCGUCUUCAAAACACAUCUCUCAAAGAGAAAGGAGAAAUGCAUUUAUUCUAGACAAAGGAACAGACAGAUAAUCAAAGAGAUUAACCGAGAGUCACACAGCUAGCGAGGAGCAGCAGUGGGACCCAAAUACAGACAGGUUCUGUGACUUACAAAUCACAUUUAUAUCUCGGGCACUAAGCAGAUCCGAAAAUGUCAUAAUUGAGAGGUGGAAAAAUGAAGAAUACUGGAAAACUAAGUAGGGUCCUGAUACUGAUAAGUUAGAGUGAUACUUCUGAGUUGGAUGUGUUAAAUCCAAAUCUAGAGCAAUGAAGCAGAGAUGGAAGAGGAAAGCUCCCAAAAGCCCCCAAGGACCAGAGAAUAACAAGGACAAAUCCAGAGCCUCUCCCAAACCUGCCAGGCAGGGGCAAUCACAAGCAAGUCGAUAAUUAGAAGCCUUCUUCAUAGGUUAAAGCCAGCAGAAUCCUGUAGGUCACUGAACACUUUCAACUUAUCCCAGAUCUAAGGUGAAACAAAGACCCGAAAAGGAGAGGCACAGAGGGCCACUUAGCGAGGCCCAGAUUAGAGUCCACAAAGACUCGGUGCACAGCUUGGGAAAGUGGUUCUGAAGAUGAACGUGGUUGUUUGUUAGGACAAUAAUCUGUGUAUUUGUGUAACCAUUAGCCAGGGAGCUGGUGCGUUCCCAGGGAACUAUUCAAGCCAGAAGCAAUUGGGUGAGGCGGGGAAAGAGGCUCCAUUUGUGGUAGAUCUCCCUUCUCCCUCCCUUCCCAAGGCAGUGCAAGUCUAGAGGGAGCCCUGAGCUGCCCUGCUGAGGAGACAAGCGAUUUUUGUUAGUAACUCUGGAGUAAAUGGAUGCUGAGGCUAGGAGUGAGUUCCUCUCCCAUCUGCCCUCGUCCUAUGCUUUGCAUGAUUUGGCUGCUCUGCCUCCCCCUAGCACCUCUUCCCAAUAUCGGCACCCCCUCUGGAUGGAUGGAAAAACCCGAAAAAUCACUCCACAAUAGUUUUUCCAAGUUCAGCUGGUGCACGAGGCCAGGGCCUGGGAGUUCAAGGGAUAAGAAGAAUACUUGCACCAGAGGUACUGCUCGCUUAUUUGGACAUGCACAGGGUUGGGUGUUGAUGGCUACGGAAGAAACUGGGAACUGAACCCCCCACCACAGCCCUGUAGCCUGUGAAUAACUUCCUGUUGUUUUAUUAUUGGUGGUGGGCAUGUCACAUUGAUGUAGCCCAACAGAAUCUUCUGGUUUUCUCCCCCCAUGAAUUCUCCUAACUCCCCAAGUCAGCUGUCUACUCCUGCUGGGGGUGGGGGGACAGAUCUCUGACUGCACACUCUGUGAAGAGAGGGCCAGCUCUGCUCAGUCCUGGACCCCAGCGCCUCCGAGAUUUUGCCCUUUCAGUAACCUCUUGUUGAUGGAUCCAUGGAGACGCUCCAGUGGGCUCUUCAAGGGUGAGGGACUGGCUGUCAAGGCUCGAGGAUGGACAGGGAAGCACAUUAUGGAAAUCUCAGAUGGCCCCCCACAAAGGAAGGUGGUUGAGAGAAAGUAAGAAUGGGAAAAGGAUGAGGUGAAGAAGGAGAAAUGGGGACCCUGGUGAGGGAGAGGGAGUUGGCAUCUGCCAUGAAAGUCAUGAUCCACAGAGGGGACCAGAGGGCUGGGAGGGGCCAGUGGGCAGGGUAGCCAAGGAAGUCCCAGAGGUGGGUCAGACAGGGGAAAGGAACACCCAUCUAGAGGCCUGCUCCAGCCUCUCUCCUGUUCCCCAGUCUUCCAGCCACAUUAGCUUGUCCUGACUUCAAAGAGCUGGUGAGAGUGGGGCUUUCAGUGGGUCCGGGGUGUUUCAUUUGGGGCCUCUUUUCAAUCAGUUGCUGAAAAUGGGUGCAGGACUUGGUCCCUGAGUUUGAGGAUGGUAUUUUCUUAUGGGAAAAAGGAAACUUCCACUGCUUAGAUUCUCAAAACUCUUCCAGGCGUGUCCUCAAGGGGUGCACGAUUUUGAAUCCAAAUAAAGUCUAUUCAGUUGGAAAGCAAGAAUCAUCAUCCUGUUGAAUUCACUGGUAAUUAGACUUCGAGCCAACAUUUGUAAAGUGCUAUAUAAUUUAAUACAGUCUUCCACAGCAUACACUUUUUUAAAAAAUUGUUGUUUGUUUGUUUUGUUUUGAUGCCAACCUAGGGGCUCUUUACCACGGAGCCACAUCCCCAGCCCUUUUUAUUUAUUUUUUUUUAUUUUGAGACAGGAUCUCAUUAAGUUGCUUAGGGCCUCACUACUUUGCUGAGGCUGGUCUCAAACUUGUGACCCUCCUGCCUCAGCCUCUAGAGUUGCUGGGAUUACAAGCAUGUGCUACCUGUCCAGCUAUCCACUUGGUUCUUGAAACAACCUUCCUAGCCCAUUUUAUAGAGGUAAAAUUCAGACCCUAAAAAUAUUCAAAUAAGGUUACACAGCUAAAUUUUGUUAGAUUAGAUUUCCUGGUUUUGCUCUUUCAUUUAAAAAAAAAAAUUCCUAAACUCUUAUGGGUUUUCUUCCCCCUCUAUUACACAAAUCAAGGAUGACAAGAAGGCUAUUCCUUGCAGUCCAUGAAUGGGUACAGUUAUUAGGGAAACUACUCAAAUUACAUGUGGAAUUUGAAUGAAAGUGCACAGCGCUUUUUUUUUUUCCUGGAGAAGAAAUCCAUAUUUCAAGCAUAUUUAUGAAAACUUUCAUGAUAUGCAAAAGAUUAAACUCACUGAUAGAAGGAAAGGCUGUCACCUUCCCUCUCUACAUACCACAACAAAUGAAGAUUAAAUCGUUACCAUAAAUACAACAACUCUCAAACUAAGCCCUUCAGAGCCAUUCCAAAAUGUCUGGCGUCAGGCUACUAAGCAUUCAGAUCAAUGGGAUCUUUACUUUCUUGGGCUGCUUGGCUCUGGGCAGAGAGGUCCUGGCUCUCUCCUGUCCCCUGUCCCCUGUGUCUCUUGCUCCCAUCCUCAUACAGCUUGGGAGGGGAGAGGAGAGACUUUCCUGGGUCUCUUCAGGAUGAGAUUUCCAGCCUCUGUAACAGAAACCCUUGGUUUCCUACCCAGAGCCUCAGUUUACUCUCUCACGCUCAUUCCCUAGGGGCGACAGGGACUUUCCUGAAUUUGGCCCUAUCCCCAGCCCUAGCACGCUGAUCCUGAUAAUCUGAUCAAUCAUGAGAAUUUUAUUCUCCUUGCUGGAAAUUGGCUUAAGAAGAAACAUAUAACUCAAUUCUGAUCAAAGAAAUCGGAGGGUAACAAAUGAUAGUUUUUAUUUAUUUUUUUUUUGUGUGUGUGUGAUGUUUUUGUUUUUGUUUUUUACUGGGGAUUGAACCCAGGGAAGCUCUACCACUUGGCUAUGUUCCCAGCUCUUUUACAUUAUUUUUGAGACAAGGGCUCACGAAGUUGCCCAGUCUGACCUCAAACUUGUAAUCCUCUUGCCUCAGCAUCCUGAGUAGCUGAGUGGAAGAAUUUCUUUCCAGCUCUCAAGAGAACUACAAGGACUACAGAGGACUCUUUUCUGGCUUUGAACAUGUUUUCACAGAGAAAUAAUCACCAGAGCCCUGGCAGCCAUUUUGUGGUCAGGAGGGAAAAUGAUUGACCUGAUGAAGUUGGCCAGGCAGAAGCAUGGAAAAAUCCUAGACCCUUCCGAGGUUGUUUAAAGAGUGAAUUAACUAACUCCAGCGCACAUCUUUCUAAACACCAUGUAGUGCAUGCUAAUUAAUGUCAUGCAUCACAUUAUUUUAAAACCAUUGUGAAUGGAAUUGACAGUUAUUGUUGGCAAAAAUGUUUUAAUUCCCAGAUUCGGUGGUUCACAUGCGCUUCUGUAAUUCCAGCGACUCAGGAGGCUGAGUCAGAUAGGUUGCAAGUUCAAAGCCAGCUUCACCAAUUUAGCAAGGCCCUAAGCAACUUAGCAAGGCCCUGUCUCAAAAUUAAAAAAUAAACAGGGCUGGGGAUGUGGCUCAGUGGUUAAGCACCCCUGGGUUCAAUUCUUGGUACAAAAAAAGCCCCAUGCUAUGGAACCACCUUCUGUGGAACGUGUUAAAGUAAGAUCAUCUUACUAUUUUUUUUUCAGAUAAACUCACCUUAUAAAGAAACAAGAGCCACUAUAACUGGAUGAAUGACUAAGAUAGGUGGGUCACAGCACUCAUGGAUCAACCUAUCCAAAACCAAAUUGCAAAUUUUAAAAGGGACCUUUGGGAUAAUUAUUGGAGUGAUUUCAAAGCUCUGAUCAAUGGACUCAUGUGCUUAUACAGGGAUGCUUUACAAACCUACCAAUAUUUGAUUCAAAUUCCUUUAGAAUUUUGUCCCACAAUUUAAAAUUCUUCAAGUUAAUUUUUUUCACAGUUAAAUAUUUCAUACAACAAAUAUUUACAUGCUAGAGCGAACCAGUAUAUAUUAACAUACACAUGUAAAAUAUUAAAUUGUAUUUCCAGUUUCACAGGCUUCUGCCAUAAUUAUUUAGUAAAUGUUCAUUGAGUCAGAAUGAUGUAGCUCCAUGCUGGUCUUUUCUCUAUUAUUAUUGUCAUCCUUCAAUGCAGAACUUUUAUGUCUAUUUAUGUAAAAUUGUACACAUGUAUAUCACAUAUAGCAUGCAGAGGCCCAUGAAAUUAAAAGCCAGGUAGAGUACACUUUUUUCUUAGCUUUUGUGUGAACACAGUGCAAUCAUAAUUUUAAAAUAAUAAUGGGAUGCUUUGUAAUGUGUCACGUGAUGCAUAUUUGUGAACUUACUGUUUGAAUGCUUCUCUCUUCCUUUUAAAGGCUGAAUCAGCUCGCCUUGGCAAAGCAAAACUUCUGGGUUAAUUCUGGAUAAUUGGUUAGCAAAGAUGUUAUGUGUAAAAUAUGUAUGCCGUGUUCCAAGCAAAAUAAAUUUGUGUCUAUUUUAAA